GACGAACGCUGGCGGCGCGCUUAACACAUGCAAGUCGAGCGAUAACCAUGGCUUCGGCCAUGGGGAGAGCGGCGAACGGGUGAGUAACACGUGAGCGAUCUGCCCUCGACACCGGGAUAGCCCGGGGAAACCCGGAUUAAUACCGGAUGGCCUCUCGAGCCCACGGGCUCGUUAGAAAAGAUGGCUUCGGCUUUCGGUCGAGGAGGAGCUUGCGGCGGAUUAGCUUGUUGGUGGGGUAACGGCUCACCAAGGCGACGAUCCGUAGCUGGUCUGAGAGGACGAUCAGCCACACUGGGACUGAGACACGGCCCAGACGCCGACGGGAGGCAGCAGUGGGGAAUCUUGCGCAAUGGGCGAAAGCCUGACGCAGCGACGCCGCGUGAGGGAAGAAGGCCUUCGGGUUGUAAACCUCUUUCAGGAGGGACGAAGCCACUCGGGUUAAUACCCCAGAGGGUGACGGUACCUCCAGAAGAAGCCCCGGCUAACUACGUGCCAGCAGCCGCAGUAAAAC
rnacentral:rRNA from 1 species